UGCGGGGUAGGGGAGCGUUGUGUAAGCGGAGAAACAGUAGCGUAAGCGGCUGUGGAGUUUACAGAAGUGAGAAUGCCGGAAUGAGUAGCGCGAAUGUGGUGAGAAUCCACAUGGCCGGAAACCUCAGGUUUUUGGAGGAAGGUUCGUCCGCUCCAAGUUAGGCGGGAGCUAAGGUCAGGCCGAAAGGCGUAGCCGAUGCACAGACGGUAGAGAUUCCGUCCCCACCGAAAGAUUUAAGCACAGGGACACUUUUUGAAGGUCGGAGCCAGGUGUUGGUUCUGGUAGUGAUCGAGGGAAAUAUAGUACCGAAGUCCGGCUGGAAGAGAGGCGAGAAAAGCUGUGUGUAUAUCUAAGGUGCCCGUACCGCAAACCGACACAGGUAGGUAGGAAGAAGAUUCUAAGGCCAACGGGAGAAGGGUUGUUAAGGAACUCGGCAAAUUGACCCCGUAACUUCGGGAGAAGGGGUGCUCCAGAGAUGGAGCCGCAGAGAAUCGGCCCAAGCAACUGUUUACCAAAAACACAGGUUUGUGCUAAAUCGAAAGAUGACGUAUACGAGCUGACGCCUGCCCGGUGCUGGAAGGUUAAAAGGAGAUGUGCAAGCAUUGAAUUGAAGCCCCAGUGAACGGCGGCCGUAACUAUAACGGUCCUAAGGUAGCGAAAUUCCUUGUCAGGUAAGUUCUGACCCGCAUGAAAGGCGUAAUGAUUUGGGCACUGUCUCAACAGCCCGCCCGGCGAAAUUGUAGUACCGGUGAAGAUGCCGGUUACCCGCGACAAGACGGAAAGACCCCAUGGAGCUUUACUGUAGCCUGAUAUUGGGUUUCGGUGUUGCAUGCACAGGAUAGAUGGGACGCUGGGAAAGAAGCGCUUUGGCGUUUCUGGAGCGGACGUUGGGAUACCAUCCUUGCGACAUUGGAAUUCUAACCUGCGCCUCUGAAUCGAGGCGGGGGACAUUGUCAGGUGGGCAGUUUGACUGGGGCGGUCGCCUCCUAAAAAGUAGCGGAGGCGUUCAAAGGUUCGUUCGAUCUGGACGGAAACCAGAUGAUUGAGUGCAAACGCAUAAACGAGCCUGACUGCGAGACUGACGGGUCGAGCAGAGACGAAAGUCGGAGUUAGUGAUCCGGUGGUAUGUGAGUGGAAAUGCCAUCGCUCAACGGAUAAAAGUUACCCUGGGGAUAACAGGCUGAUCUCCCCCAAGAGUCCACAUCGACGGGGAGGUUUGGCACCUCGAUGUCGGCUCAUCGCAUCCUGGGGCUGAAUUCGGUCCCAAGGGUUUGGCUGUUCGCCAAUUAAAGCGGUACGCGAGCUGGGUUCAGAACGUCGUGAGACAGUUCGGUCCCUAUCUGUCGUGGGCGCAGGAUAUUUGAAAGGCGCUGUCCCUAGUACGAGAGGACCGGGAUGGACGAACCUCUGGUGCACCAGUUGUCACGCCAGUGGCACAGCUGGGCAGCUAUGUUCGGAUCGGAUAAACGCUGAAAGCAUCUAAGCGUGAAGCCGGCCUUAAGAUAAGAUAUCCCACUGAGUCAAUCAGGUAAGACCCCUUGAAGACUACAAGGUUGAUAGGCACACAGUGUAAGCGGAGUGAUCCGUUCAGCUAGCGUGUACUAAUAGGUCGAGGGCUUGACCC
rnacentral:rRNA from 1 species